ACGAACGCUGGCGGCAGGCCUAACCCAUGCAAGUCGAGCGCGCCCUUCGGGGUGAGCGGCGGACGGGUGAGUAACGCGUGGGAACGUGCCCUUCUCUGCGGAAUAGCCUCGGGAAACUGAGAGUAAUACCGCAUACGCCCUUUGGGGGAAAGAUUUAUCGGAGAAGGAUCGGCCCGCGUUGGAUUAGGUAGUUGGUGGGGUAAUGGCCCACCAAGCCGACGAUCCAUAGCUGGUUUGAGAGGAUGAUCAGCCACACUGGGACUGAGACACGGCCCAGACUCCUACGGGAAGCAGCAGUGGGGAAUCUUAGACAAUGGGGGCAACCCUGAUCUAGCCAUGCCGCGUGAGUGAUGAAGGCCUUAGGGUUGUAAAGCUCUUUCAGCUGGGAAGAUAAUGACGGUACCAGCAGAAGAAGCCCCGGCUAACUCCGUG
rnacentral:rRNA from 1 species